GUGAGAUCGAGAGACAAAUGUUUGCGCUCGUAGGAGCAAGCGUGGUGUCUGAACGCAGCGACUACCUGCGCUCAGAGUCAGAUUGUUAUUGAUGCAAGCAAUGCCGUUGAUGCGAGUGUGAUGCUGAGUUUCAGAUGGAAUGUAAGCAAAAACACCAAUAGCUCUCCCUGCUCAUCCAAUUUGCCCGGGCUGCUGCUGAUGCUUCAGUGCUGAGAAGUGUGCACUGUCAGGUUUUUGCUUCUUACUGGCACAAGGUGUCUUUAGUCCUGCCCCACAAGUAAGCCCCAUAGCUGGCGAUGGGCCAAUUUCUUUCACAGGUGUUUAUUUUUGACUGUUCACACUAUGUACUUCACAGUGAGAUUAUAUCUCUAAAGAAGAAAAGGGCUUUAAAAAAU